UACGUAGGCAGCAAGCGUUGUUCGGAGUUACUGGGCGUAAAGGGUGUGUAGGCGGUUCCUUAAGUUUUGCUGUGAAAUCUCCCCGGCUUAACCGGGAGGGUGCGGUGAAUACUGAGGGACUAGAGUACGGGGAGAGGGAAAAGUGGAAAUUUCCUGGUGUAGCGGUGAAAAUGCGUAGAUAUCAGGAGGAACACCGGUGGUGUAGACGGCUUUCUGGACCGUAACUGACGCUGAGACACGAAAAGCGUGGGGUAGCAAACAGG
rnacentral:rRNA from 1 species